UUGGAUGCCUUGGGUGCUGAUGCUACAGGCAGGAGUCAUCUGCUGUAGAAGCUCGGAUGGAGAUUUUCUAUUAGUGAAGUCUGGUAGGAGUCCGAUUGCUAGAGAAGUCUUUCUGGAAUUUGCCUGAUGUGGAAGCUCGUCUGAAGAUUAUCCAUCGGAGAAGUCCGAUCUCAUGAAGAAUCUGGCGGAGGGUCGGCCGGCGGUGGACUUCGGAUGGCAUUGGGGAGGUUCGUCCGCUGGAGGAGUCCGGGAAUCCUGUGGAAGUCUGGAUGGUGUUGUGGAAGUCUGGCUGACGCUAUUGAAGGCUGAUGGCUGGGGAGGUUUGGCAGACACCGAAGGCGAUCGAUCGUUGUAGAAAUUCAGCUACUGGAGUCCGUCCGUUGUAGAAGCUCGUCCGAUAUCCAUCCGUUA
rnacentral:lncRNA from 1 species